UGGGGAAUAUUGCACAAUGGGCGCAAGCCUGAUGCAGCGACGCCGCGUGAGGGAUGAAGGCCUUCGGGUUGUAAACCUCUUUCGUCAGGGAACAAGGCACUGCUUUGGUGGUGUUGAGGGUACCUGGAUAAGAAGCGCCGGCUAACUACGUGCCAGCAGCCGCGGUAAUACGUAGGGCGCAAGCGUUGUCCGGAAUUAUUGGGCGUAAAGAGCUCGUAGGCGGCUGGUCGCGUCUGUCGUGAAAACUUCCGGCUCAACCGGGGGCUUGCGGUGGGUACGGGCCGGCUAGAGUGCGGUAGGGGUAACUGGAACUCCUGGUGUAGCGGUGGAAUGCGCAGAUAUCAGGAAGAACACCGAUGGCGAAGGCAGGUUACUGGGCCGUUACUGACGCUGAGGAGCGAAAGCGUGGGGAGCGAACAGGAUUAGAUACCCUGGUAGUCCACGCUGUAAACGUUGGGCACUAGGUGUGAGGCUCCUUUCCGGGGGUUUUGCGCCGUAGCUAACGCAUUAAGUGCCCCGCCUGGGGAGUACGGCCGCAAGGCUA
rnacentral:rRNA from 1 species